rnacentral:rRNA from 1 species
UGCGUAGGUGGUGAGGUAAGUCGGAUGUGAAAGCUCCGAGCUCAACUCGGAAAUGGCAUUGGAAACUACCUUGCUAGAGGGUUUGAGGGGGGACUGGAAUACUUGGUGUAGCAGUGAAAUGCGUAGAUAUCAAGUAGAACACCAGUGGCGAAGGCGAGUCCCUGGAAAACUCCUGACACUGAGGCACGAAAGCUAGGGGGAGCAAACA